rfam:Deinococcus peraridilitoris DSM 19664, complete genome.
GGGCGGUUAGCUCAGCGGUAGAGCACUCGCUUCACACGCGAGGGGUCGUAGGUUCAAAUCCUAUACCGCCCA